rnacentral:rRNA from 1 species
UUCGCAAUGCCCGAAAGGGUGAACGAGCGACGCCGCGUGCGGGGUGAAGGGUUUCGGCUUGUAAACCGCUUUUCUUUGGGAAGAAGGUCUGUCUCGUGCAGAUGGGCUCGACGGUACCAGAGGAAUAAGCCUCGGCUAACUCCGUGUCAGCAGCCGCGGUAAGACGGAGGAGGCAAGCGUUGUUCGGAAUUAUUGGGCGUAAAGGGCGCGUAGGCGGAUCGGUAAGUCUGGCGUGAAAUCUCCACCGCUUAACGGGGAGAGGUCGCUGGAAACUACCGAUCUGGAGUUCGGCAGAGGACCAUGGAAUUCCAGGUGUAGCGGUGGAAUGCGUAGAUAUCUGGAAGAACACCGGUGGCGAAGGCGGUGGUCUGGGCCGAAACCGACGCUGAGGCGCGAAAGCCAGGGGAGCAAACGGGAUUAGAUACCCCGGUAGUCCUAGCCCUAAACGAUGGGCACUAAGUAGAGGGGUUUU